AAGUCGUAACAAGGUUUCCGUAGGUGAACCUGCGGAAGGAUCAUUAUCAUAACGUAUCCACGUAUAAACUAACUCUUUGAUGUGAAACGUAACUGUUUAACACCUCAUGCGUAAUCAAAUGAUUGCUGUAUUACAACGUUUUUUUUUUGCGUGAUUAAAGCAAAAAACACCGUAAUAUGGACCUGGCUUUCGGGCCUAGCUUUGGUUAUAUAUAUGAGUGUAAAUCAAUUUAAUCUUAUUAACCAAUUGAACCGAUUAACUAUUCGUAGUUAUUCAUUCUAAUUCUAUUGUGUGAACUGAAUUGUCAUUUACGCAUUUCUGUAAAAGGAAAAAGCGAAGUGAUUCUAUUUACGAAACAUUAUAAAUUUCUAUGAACAACUCUUAGCAACGGAUAUCUUGGUUCUC
rnacentral:misc_RNA from 1 species